rnacentral:rRNA from 1 species
CUACGGGGGGCAGUAGGCGAGAAAACUUUGCAAUGUGCGAAAGCACGACAAGGUUAAUCCGAGUGGUUUGUGCUAAACGAACCUUUUGACAGUCCUAGAAACACUGUUGAAUAAGGGGUGGGCAAGUUCUGGUGUCAGCCGCCGCGGUAAAACCAGCACCUCAAGUGGUCAGGAUGAUUAUUGGGCCUAAAGCAUCCGUAGCCGGCUCUGUAAGUUUUCGGUUAAAUCUGUACGCUCAACGUACAGGCUGCCGGGAAUACUGCAGAGCUAGGGAGUGGGAGAGGUAGACGGUACUCGGGUAGGAAGGGGUAAAAUCCUUUGAUCUAUUGAUGACCACCUGUGGCGAAGGCGGUCUACCAGAACACGUCCGACGGUGAGGGAUGAAAGCUGGGGGAGCAAACCGGAUUAGAUACCCGUGUAGUC